rnacentral:rRNA from 1 species
AUUGAACGCUGGCGGCAGGCCUAACACAUGCAAGUCGAGCGGUAGAGAGGUGCUUGCAUCUCUUGAGAGCGGCGGACGGGUGAGUAAUGCCUAGGAAUCUGCCUAGUGGUGGGGGAUAAACGUUCGGAAACGGACGCUAAUACCGCAUACGUCCUACGGGAGAAAGCGGGGGAUCUUCGGACCUCGCGCCAUUAGAUGAGCCUAGGUCGGAUUAGCUAGUUGGUGAGGUAAUGGCUCACCAAGGCGACGAUCCGUAACUGGUCUGAGAGGAUGAUCAGUCACACUGGAACUGAGACACGGUCCAGACUCCUACGGGAGGCAGCAGUGGGGAAUAUUGGACAAUGGGCGAAAGCCUGAUCCAGCCAUGCCGCGUGUGUGAAGAAGGUCUUCGGAUUGUAAAGCACUUUAAGUUGGGAGGAAGGGUAGUAACCUAAUACGUUGCUACUUUGACGUUACCGACAGAAUAAGCACCGGCUAACUUCGUG